GAUAUGACGAUAUAUAUCGUGUGAUGAUAUAAAAAUGUCUAUCGUUUCAUAUUAUCCUCUAUCGUUUAUAUCGUCUUGUCGCAAAUCACACUCUUUACGGUAAUAUUUUACGUCAUUUGGACGACGCUUUACAUUCUUCCACACGGCACAUGAACGCAACACAAACAAACAUGGAGGAGAGUGAACGUGACAAUUCUGAAUAGGAGAAGGACUCCCACGACCAGCCAAGACAAAGUGCUGUGCUGCAUGUCUGCUGUUCAGGAGCCCCAGAGGUCAUCUCCCUCUGUGUCAUCACAACCUCAGCCUCCUCACAGCUCCAGGCCCCAACGCGGCGACCCCACACAGAGAGCUCAUGUACAGCAAAUAAGGCCAAAAGAAAGAAAAACAACCCAACAGGUCCGCCAGCUGCGUGCGCGACGACAAGAGAGACGGGUUGAGGCUUGCAGAAUUGGCCGCUCUCUCCUACCCUCUCUAACCUGUGAAGGAAAGGAAUCUGUUGCAAAACAAAUUUGUAACCUACUACUCAAAGCUGUGUCAACCAAAGAAAUAAGGAAUGUUAUUUUGCACAACACUACUAAUCUGUAAGCCAGCAUUGGCACCACAAAAUAAAA